GCCCGUCACACCAUGGGAGUGGGUUGCAAAAGAAGUAGGUAGCUUAACCUUCGGGAGGGCGCUUACCACUUUGUGAUUCAUGACUGGGGUGAAGUCGUAACAAGGUAACCGUAGGGGAACCUGCGGUUGGAUCACCUCCUUACCUUAAAGAAGC
rnacentral:rRNA from 2 species